UAGAGUUUGAUCAUGGCUCAGAACGAACGCUGGCGGCAGGCUUAACACAUGCAAGUCGAACGCUCCGCAAGGAGAGUGGCAGACGGGUGAGUAACACGUGGGAAUCUACCCUUUACUACGGAAUAACGCAUGGAAACGUGUGCUAAUACCGUAUGUGUCCUUCGGGAGAAAGAUUUAUCGGUAAAGGAUGAGCCCGCGUUGGAUUAGCUAGUUGGUGGGGUAAAGGCCUACCAAGGCGACGAUCCAUAGCUGGUCUGAGAGGAUGAUCAGCCACAUUGGGACUGAGACACGGCCCAAACUCCUACGGGAGGCAGCAGUGGGGAAUAUUGGACAAUGGGCGCAAGCCUGAUCCAGCCAUGCCGCGUGAGUGAUGAAGGCCCUAGGGUUGUAAAGCUCUUUCACCGGAGAAGAUAAUGACGGUAUCCGGAGAAGAAGCCCCGGCUAACUUCGUGCCAGCAGCCGCGGUACGAC
rnacentral:rRNA from 1 species